rnacentral:rRNA from 1 species
GACCUCGGAUCAGUAGGAUACCCGCUGAACUUAAGCAUAUCAUAAGCGGAGAAAGAAACCAACAGGAUUGCCUUAGUACGCAGUGACACAAC